UUUCUCUUCUUCUUCUUAUUCUUCUCCAGCGCCGCUCACCUCUCUCUCCUUCUCUUUUGUUUCCAGCCACCAGAGCCGAUCGAAUCCAUCUUCUCCUCAUCGUCGCGCCACAUCGCUCUGCAGCUUCCUUCUCUCUCUAUUUUCAUUUUCGGUGGGCGCAGCAAACUGGCGACCUGCGAUCUCUCUCUGACGAUCGACGCAAUGGCGCCUUCGCCGUCUCCGGUGACCUCGACACAAUUGAACGGCUCCAGCAACUCCCUUGUCGAUGGCAUAAUCUCCUUCACGCUCUGUUUGUUUUCAGUCUGCUAAACAGGCAAGUCGAGCCCGUUCCGAUCAGUUAGAGGGCCGAUCUCGCUCAACCAAUGCCAAAAACGAACUCUUGAGUGAAAUCCAAGCUAGGCGGAGUGAAGAGUGCUCGAUUACGAGCAGCCAUGGGCUUUUCGGCCACCAUAGGCAGCGGCGACGGCAACAGUCCAGCGAGCAGCCGGUGAGGCCCCAGGAGGUGGAAUCAUCUCCUCCUUGCGCAGAUCGUGGAAUCAUAGUCUGAUUUUCGAUUGAAGUAGGUACUUCUUUGUCCCGGUUAAAGCUCUAUCUCCUCCCCCGCAGAGCUAGAAAAGUAAUUUUUAUAGUCAGCAGUUAUUUAAAUUAUGUAGCUAUAUGUUCUAAAACUUUUAUUUAUAUUUAUCUGUUAGUGAACUCCGCAGUUGUAGGAUUAUAACCGAUUAAUUUAGGUGGAUGUUUAGUUAUUCAUUUAAGUGAACGCAUGAACCAAUUAGCCCAUAUUAUGAAUAUUUUAUAUUAUAAUUGGGCCUGAGCUAUAAAAUGUUUAAGAUGCUAGAUUUGGUCCAAAAUAUAAUAUAAUUAUGAGAUUUAUUAUUUAUGGCAAUAUGGGCUGAUUGUUUGAAAUUCAUAUUAUUAUGGUUGAAUUUCUGUGGUUCAGGCUUACUACGAGCCUCGAGGACCUUAUACUUAUCUGAGUCCUAAUGCCGGUCCUGCCUAUGGUUUCGAGUCGUGACAUAAACAUAGUAAAUCUUCUUUUUUUCGCCAAGUGAUUCUUAAUUUUUUGUUGUGAUAGAUUUGCAACUCUAGGAGCUUAACAGUCAUUUUAAUGAAGUAAAUAUAGAGUUGCUUAUAUGUGCUUCAUGCUUGAAUCCAGUUGAUUUAUUCAAUGCUUAUGAUAAAGAAAAAUUGCUUCAUCUUGCUCAGUUUUAUCAUGUUGAAUUAUCAUCAGUCCAACUCACUAUUCUUGAUAAUCAAUUAGAGACAUAUAAGCUUGUAAACUAAGUCUAGUUGUGAGUGUUCUGAAGCAACUAGAAUUAGUUUACAAGGUUAUAACUUUAGCUUUGGUCUUACCUGUUGUAACUACAUCUGUUGAAAGCACAUUUUAUGUUAUGAAAAUUGUGAAGAAUUGGUUACAGAAUAUAAUUGGACAUCAAUGGAUGGCAGAUAAUUUGAUCACGUAUAUUGAGAAAGAUAUUUUUGAUAAGAUUGACAAUGACACUGCUAUUCAAUGUUAUCAAGGCAUGAAGACUCGCAGAAUACAAUUGUCAAUUUUUUUCCUAAUGUAAUAAAUAUUAUAGAUAUUUGAUAUUAACUGGCUA